rnacentral:lncRNA from 7 species
GCAUCAUAUACGACACUUAGAGAAGGUUGCAAUGAGUAUAGAGAACCAAUGCGCUCAUUGGACGCGAUCAGUGGUGUAUCGAACUUUUCACUGGAUAUGGAACUCACAGAGGUGUGGAGUCGUAUUCUUCAAGGCAAUGCUCUCAAUGGAUGUGUUCGGCGAGCAUUAACCAUGGUGCAUCGGACACCAGUACAUUAAUAGCUAGUUUAGAAAUUACUCAUUGGAAACCUACAUCGGACAUGUCCGGUGCUAGCGUUUUGUGAGCUUCAAACAUGCAUGAUGCUCCUAUGAUUGGUGAGUGGAGGGUCAUGAUGCUGAGAUUAGGAUGAAAACCGAUUUAAAAUACAUAGAGAUCCAAUAUUUUAAAACAAAGGGGUGAAAAAUAAAAACAAGCGGCAGCUAGCUGACUGCAAUCCUGUGUUUUUUUAAAUAACAACUUGAACCCUACUUAGAGUGGUGUUUUGUAUUCGACAUGGCGAGACACAACUUCUAACUCUUCAUACGAAAGUUAAAGUGAACUCUUUUCCUUUCAGCACCAAAAGUGGCCGAUGGUCCGGUCCUAGGGCUCGGAUAGUUCGUAGCCCCGCGAUCAAAUCAACUUAGGUAAUUAUCCUUAUCUUGUGCGUGGUUAUCUAUCUAAUCACGUGAGAGUUGUUGGCAUCUCCUAGGAACAGGUCCAAACAUCAUUCCCUAUAAAUAUAAAGGGGUACGACCAAUUGAUAGCCCAAACACAUUCCAAUCGAACCAAUUACUUUCUUUAUCAUUCCUAUCUUAGGAGUAGAUAUAGCGUAUUUCUAGUUAUAGUCUUCCGCAUAUCCACCUCCACCCCUAUUCGACUCUAUGUCGUCUAGAUCCGUCUUGGUUGACCUGCCGACCCAAGACGACUCUAGGAUUUUACCCCUCUAUGGGGGCAAAAUCUAGUUAUCCACCCCAGGCCUCUUUCUUGAAUUCAUCUCUUAAUUUCUAUGCAACUCCACGUCGUCUGGGGACGCUCCUGGUGAUCUGUCGAUCCAGGGCGUCCUAAGAUCUCUUUCCCCAGGGGCGAGAUCUAGUUCCAGCGAGGAGGAGGAAAACGACCCUACGUCAUCGCGGACCGUCCGGUGCGAUGUUAGGAAGGUGUCGCUCCUGCGCCUAGGUCGCGGGCCGUUCGGCCCAGAGCCGCGGACCGUCCGCGCCGCCGUAGAGAGCACCGUCAGGCGAUACACCCGGAGUGAUUGGAGCUGCCCACAUUGGCGUCAAGAGUGAGUUCUGUAAUCACUUGUAGACAAUUGUAGGCAAGCUGUAUACGGUUUCGUACAUAAGAGCAGUUAGCUAGGUCAACAUACGUAUCUUAUCAUUUUAUUUUCCAACGGGUGUCUCCCGUGCAAGCUGCCAAAAGAAUCGCUUUUCAGAAUCAGAUC